rnacentral:tRNA from 1 species
GGAGAGGUGUCCGAGUGGCUGAAGGAGCACGCUUGGAAAGCGUGUGUGCUGGAGACGGUACCGUGGGUUCGAAUCCCACCCUCUCCG